rnacentral:tRNA from 1 species
CCUGAGCGGGGGCGCGGUCCACGAUGCCCGCCACCCUGGCGCGGUGGGGGGCCGAAAUCAACGGUCCGAUAUCGGUGUUCGGAUCCA